GAUGAACGCUGGCGGCGUGCCUAAUACAUGCAAGUCGAGCGAACGGACGAGAAGCUUGCUUCUCUGAUGUUAGCGGCGGACGGGUGAGUAACACGUGGAUAACCUACCUAUAAGACUGGGAUAACUUCGGGAAACCGGAGCUAAUACCGGAUAAUAUUUUGAACCGCAUGGUUCAAAAGUGAAAGACGGUCUUGCUGUCACUUAUAGAUGGAUCCGCGCUGCAUUAGCUAGUUGGUAAGGUAACGGCUUACCAAGGCAACGAUGCAUAGCCGACCUGAGAGGCGGAUCGGCCACACUGGAACUGAGACACGGUCCAGACUCCUACGGGAGGCAGCAGUAGGGAAUCUUCCGCAAUGGGCGAAAGCCUGACGGAGCAACGCCGCGUGAGUGAUGAAGGUCUUCGGAUCGUAAAACUCUAUUAUGAGGGAAGAACAUAUGUGUAAGUAACUGUGCACAUCUUGACGGUACCUAAUCAGAAAGCCACGGCUAACUACGUG
rnacentral:rRNA from 1 species